rnacentral:rRNA from 1 species
CCUACGGGAGGCAGCAGUGGGGAAUAUUGGGCAAUGGGCGCAAGCCUGACCCAGCAACGCCGCGUGAAGGAAGAAGGCUCUCGGGUUGUAAACUUCUUUUAUCAGGGACGAAGCAAGUGACGGUACCUGAUGAAUAAGCCACGGCUAACUACGUGCCAGCAGCCGCGGUAAUACGUAGGUGGCAAGCGUUAUCCGGAUUUACUGGGUGUAAAGGGCGUGUAGGCGGGAAAGCAAGUCAGAUGUGAAACCCAUGGGCUCAACCUGUGGCCUGCAUUUGAAACUGUUUUUCGUGAGUACUGGAGAGGCAGACGGAAGUCCUAGUGUAGCGGUGAAAUGCGUAGAUAUUAGGAGGAACACCAGUGGCGAAGGCGGUCUGCUGGACAGCAACUGACGCUGAGGCGCGAAAGCGUGGGGAGCAAACAGGAUUAGAUACCCGGGUAGUG